rnacentral:rRNA from 1 species
GAUGAACGCUGGCGGCAUGCCUAACACAUGCAAGUCGAACGGACUCUUAUAUUAGAAAAUCUCUACAUGCUUAGAGGUUCCCUAAUAUCAGAGUUAGUGGCGGACGGGUGAGUAACACGUUAGUACCUGCCCUUCAGUGGGGAAUAACUCGGCGAAAGUCGAGCUAAUACCGCAUAGGCUCGUUUACGAGUAAAGACUUCGGUCGCUGAAGGAGGGGCUUGCGUCUGAUUAGCUAGUUGGUGGGGUAAAGGCCCACCAAGGCGACGAUCAGUAGCUGGUUCGAGAGGAUGACCAGCCACACUGGGACUGAGAUACGGCCCAGACUCCUACGGGAGGCAGCAGUGAGGAAUCUUCCGCAAUGGGCGAAAGCCUGACGGAGCAAUGCCGCGUGCAGGAUGACGGCC